rnacentral:rRNA from 1 species
AACGAACGCUGGCGGCAGGCUUAACACAUGCAAGUCGAACGCCCCGCAAGGGGAGUGGCAGACGGGUGAGUAACGCGUGGGAACGUGCCCUUCGCUUCGGAAUAGCCCCGGGAAACUGGGAGUAAUACCGGAUACGCCGUAUUGGGAAAGAUUUAUCGGCGAAGGAUCGGCCCGCGUUGGAUUAGCUAGUUGGAGGUGUAAUGGACCCCCAAGGCUACGAUCCAUAGCUGGUCUGAGAGGAUGAUCCGCCACACUGGGACUGAGACACGGCCCAGACUCCUACGGGAGGCAGCAGUGGGGAAUCUUGGACAAUGGGCGCAAGCCUGCUCCAGCCAUGCCGCGUGAGUGAAGAAGGCCUUAGGGUUGUAAAACUCUUUCGCCGGAGAAGAUAAUGACGGUAUCCGGAGAAGAAGCCCCGGCUAACUUCGUGCCAGCAGCCGCAGUAACAC